AUGGGAUCUCAGGAAGUAAAACACCAGGUUCUGCAGCAUUUCUGGGGCCAGCUGAGGUCACUGAAGAUCUCUGAUAAAAGCCGGAGUACACACCCAUUGUUUUCUUAUGUGACUGUAAAAUGGCUUCAAGAACAUUUCUUCAAAUUCUACAAAUAAGUGAAUCAAGGCCUACAGCACGAAGGGUUGUAAAAUAUAUUCAUCUUGCAGUUUUCAGAAGACUACAUGCAUUCUGAGAAUAUCCAACAUUAUCAUAACUAAGGAUGAUUCAUUUUCAAAAUGGCAUUAAAGUUUCUGUUUCAAUGCUAAAAGGAUGUUAUGACUGUUGAAUAUAAAAUAUAGAGAGAGAGCAAAAUCACAGAAUUUUUCAGCCUGUCUGCCAUUAAAGGACUUUAUUUUUGUAAUGGUGAGAGGCAGGAUACUGCUUGGCUGAACUGUGCCUAUGAUAAGUUUGGUUAUUCCUGUCCAUUACACCAUUGCACAAGUGAGAGAAUUGUUGUAGCUGGAAUAUGUCUUGCUCUCUAAACUGUGUACUUGUCCACAAUGAGCCAAAAAGGUCUAUGAUAUGGGGCAUACUUCAGGCACUGUUGUCCUAGAGCAGUCAGAUGCCGGCAGAGAACUCCAUCCGUAGUAGGUGAAGAAGAGAAUGUGAACCCCUUUCCAUUGCUCCUCCCAUGGCAGUUCCUUGUCUGCUCUGGAUCCCUUGUAGAGACAGGAAGGGUUUUGAGGGUGCCACCUUGAAAGAUGAAACUCCCCAAGAAUGGGGUGUGGUAGGAGAAAGGCAUGAUCUGACAUGGAGUCUGUAGUUGCUGCAAGGAUCAGAGACGAUGCACGCAGCCGUGCAAUCAUUAUGAUGUAUCUUUUAUAAUGGCUUUUAAGUCUUUUACUAGCACCAAACAAAAACAAAUUAAUGUCUCUGUAUCCUAGCUCUGGAAGUCAUGGGUUUCUUGCUCCUAGGGUUUUUUUUAUACCAUCACUAAUCUAUCUACUGGUAUUACCUCUCCAGAUUUUACCUCUUUUAAGUACCACUUAUUUAUUUUAUACCAAACUGUAAUGGGUUAAAAUUCUGGUAAAUAAAAAAAAAAUUCUGGUAAAGAACA
rnacentral:lncRNA from 1 species